UACGAAGGGGGCUAGCGUUGUUCGGAUUUACUGGGCGUAAAGCGCACGUAGGCGGAUCGUUAAGUCGGGGGUGAAAUCCUGGAGCUCAACUCCAGAACUGCCUUCGAUACUGGCGAUCUUGAGUCAGGAAGAGGUGAGUGGAACUCCUAGUGUAGAGGUGGAAUUCGUAGAUAUCAUUUGGAACGCCAAUGGUGAAAACAGGUUGCUGGGAGUGUGCUGACGCUGAGACACGAAAGCCAGGGGAGCGAACGGG
rnacentral:rRNA from 1 species